rnacentral:tRNA from 1 species
GGGCGAUUAGCUCAGCGGUAGAGCGCUUCCUUCACACGGAAGAGGUCGCUGGUUCGAGACCAGCAUCGCCUACCA